CCUACGGGAGGCAGCAGUGGGGAAUAUUGGACAAUGGGCGCAAGCCUGAUCCAGCCAUGCCGCGUGAGUGAUGAAGGCCCUAGGGUUGUAAAGCUCUUUCGCCAGGGACGAUAAUGACGGUACCUGGAUAAGAAGCCCCGGCUAACUUCGUGCCAGCAGCCGCGGUAAUACGAAGGGGGCUAGCGUUGUUCGGAAUCACUGGGCGUAAAGCGCACGUAGGCGGAUCUUUAAGUCAGGGGUGAAAUCCCGAGGCUCAACCUCGGAACUGCCUUUGAUACUG
rnacentral:rRNA from 1 species